AUCUCAAUAGAAUUUCUUAAAUCUUAUUUAAGGGAUAUGAUCUGAUUAGAUGAUGCUUGGGUCUUUUUGGUUUGGGGUUUUUCAGAUCUUGACGAAUUUAGUUGGUGGUUGGGGUUUCGGAAGUUGAAUUAGUUCAGAUCUGAGGCUUCAUUCAUCAGAUCUUGAACUGAUUUAGCCGGAAUAGGGGUUCGCCUAUUCCGUGGUCAUAUGUUCUGGUGGUCUUCGCGGAUGGGUCCUUGACUGUUUAUUAUCCGUGUGUUUUUCAACCGAAAUUUCAUGCUUUAUUUUUGCUUAUGUUAUGAUUUGAAAUCCUUAAUUGUGCAGUCAUUGAUUGUACCGUGUACUGUCGUUCCCUCUCUAAAUUUUAUGUUUUAUUGCUUAUUUUUUUAAGGUUCAGAUUUGAAUGUUUAUGGCCCAUUACCGGUUUCCAUGGUUGGAUCUGCUGGUUACACUUC
rnacentral:lncRNA from 1 species